UACGUAGGGCGCGAGCGUUAAUCGGAAUUACUGGGUGUAAAGUGUGCGCAGGCGGCCGAGCAAGUCGAGUGUGAAAGCCCCGAGCUUAACUUGGGAACUGCGCUCGAAACUACUUGGCUAGAGUGUGGCAGAGGGAGGUGGAAUUCCACGUGUAGCGGUGAAAUGCGUAGAGAUGUGGAGGAACACCGAUGGCGAAGGCAGCCUCCUGGGCCAACACUGACGCUCAUGCACGAAAGCGUGGGGAGCAAACAGG
rnacentral:rRNA from 1 species